rnacentral:rRNA from 1 species
ACUGCUUGCAGUGAUUGAUUAGUGGCGAACGGGUGAGUAACACGUGAGGAACUUGCCCAUGAGCGGGGGACAACAUUCGGAAACGGAUGCUAAUACCCCAUAGGUGGAUUGGUCGCAUGACGAAUUCAUUAAAGGUGGCUUUGCUACCACUCAUGGAUAGCCUCGCGGCGUAUUAGCUAGUUGGUAAGGUAAUGGCUUACCAAGGCAGUGAUACGUAGCCGACUUGAGAGGGUGAUCGGCCACACUGGGACUGAGACACGGCCCAGACUCCUACGGGAGGCAGCAGUAGGGAAUCUUCCACAAUGGGUGCAAACCUGAUGGAGCAAUGCCGCGUGAGUGAAGAAGGUCUUCGGAUCGUAAAGCUCUGUUGUUAGAGAAGAACACGUGCUAGGUAACUACUAGCGCCUUGACGGUAUCUAACCAGAAAGUCACGGCUAACUACGUGCCAGCAGCCGCGGUAAUACGUAGGUGACAAGCGUUGUCCGGAUUUAUUGGGCGUAAAGGAAGCGCAGGCGGUCUGUUUAGUCUAAUGUGAAAGCCCACGGCCUAACCGUGGAACGGCAUUGGAAACUGACAGACUUGAAUGUAGAAGAGGAAAAUGGAAUUCCAAGUGUAGCGGUGGAAUGCGUAGAUAUUUGGAGGAACACCAGUGGCGAAGGCGAUUUUCUGGUCUAACAUUGACGCUGAGGCUCGAAAGCGUGGGGA